rnacentral:lncRNA from 1 species
GUUCUGUGUUUUCUUUCAACAACACCAUUCUGUUGAGGUGAAUGAGGGCAGGAGGUUUGAUGAAUAAUCCCCUGGCUACUAAAAAAGGAUAUGCCCUCAAUGCUGGAUCCCAGUUCUAAGGCAUUGUCGCUUCUAACAGUCUGAACCACAGUGUUAAGCUGAGUUUUAACAAAAGAGAUGAAAGACUUAAGCAGGGAAAAAGCAUUGCUUUUAGAUCCCAUUAAGUGUGUCCAGGUUUCCCUAGAAAAAUCAUCAACUAUUGUAAGGAAAUAUCUACAACCAGAAGAAGUAGGAGUAUGAUAAGGCUAGAUCCCAUUAAGUGUGUCCAGGUUGCCCUAGAAAAAUCAUCAACAAUAGUAAGGAAGUACUUAUAACCAGAAGAAGUAGAAGUGUGGUAAGGCCCCCAGGUAUCCACAUGUAUUAAUUGGAAUGGUGUAGUAGUACUGAUACUGCUGUCAUGAAAAGGGAGUCUAGUCUGUUUGGCCAUAGGGCAGACAGAAUAAGGAAAAGGUUGUUUAGAAGCAAGUGGAAGAGACAAACCAGAAAUAUGUCUCAUAUUUGCAAAAGGAGUAUGUGCUAGUCUUAAAUGCCAAAUGUAAUUCAUAUCAGUGGUAACAGUAUUAUUACAAAUGGAAUUAUUUACAAUUGGAAGCAAGCCAACAUUUUUGCUGUCAGACACAGUGUCA